rnacentral:rRNA from 1 species
CCUACGGGGGGCAGCAGUGGGGAAUAUUGGACAAUGGGCGAAAGCCUGAUCCAGCCAUGCCGCGUGUGUGAAGAAGGCCUUCGGGUUGUAAAGCACUUUCAGUGGGGAAGAAAGCCUUGGGGCUAAUACCCUCGAGGAAGGACAUCACCCACAGAAGAAGCACCGGCUAACUCCGUGCCGGCAGCCGCGGUAAUACGGAGGGUGCGAGCGUUAAUCGGAAUUACUGGGCGUAAAGCGCGCGUAGGCGGUCUGAUAAGCCGGUUGUGAAAGCCCCGGGCUCAACCUGGGAACGGCAUCCGGAACUGUCAGGCUAGAGUGCAGGAGAGGAAAGUAGAAUUCCCGGUGUAGCAGUGAAAUGCGUAGAGAUCGGGAGAAAUACCAGUGGCGAAGGCGGCCUUCUGGACUGACACUGACGCUGAGGUGCGAAAGCGUGGAUAGCAAACAGGAUUAGAUACCCGGGUAGUC